rnacentral:piRNA from 1 species
UUCCAAAUGUGACCCGAUGUUUGCAA